rnacentral:rRNA from 1 species
CUACGGGUUGCUGCAGUGGGGAAUAUUGCACAAUGGGGGAAACCCUGAUGCAGCAACGCCGCGUGGAGGAUGACGCAUUUUGGUGUGUAAACUCCUUUUAUAUCCCAAGAUAAUGACGGUAGGAUAUGAAUAAGCACCGGCUAACUCCGUGCCAGCAGCCGCGGUAAUACGGAGGGUGCAAGCGUUACUCGGAAUCACUGGGCGUAAAGGGCGCGUAGGCGGGUUGUCAAGUCUUGAGUGAAAUCCAACGGCUCAACCGUUGAACUGCUUGAGAAACUGGCAGCCUAGAGUGAGGGAGAGGUAGAUGGAAUUGGUGGUGUAGGGGUAAAAUCCGUAGAGAUCACCAGGAAUACCCAUUGCGAAGGCGAUCUGCUGGAACUCUACUGACGCUGAGGCGCGAAAGCGUGGGGAGCAAACAGGAUUAGAUACCCUCGUAGUC